GCGCGGCCGCGCAGGCGCAGCGGCUCCGCGGGGCGCCCGGGGUCCGACCGGCGCGGCGCGGCACGGCGCGGCACGGCACGGCACGGCACGGCGCGGCACGGCACGGCACGGCACGGCGCGGCGCGGCACGGCACGGCACGGCGCGGCACGGCGCGGCACGGCGCGGCACGGCACGGCACGGCACGGCACGGCGCGGCGCGGCACGGCGCGGCACGGCGCGGCACGGCACGGCGCGGCGCGGCACGGCCCCACCGAGCCCCACCGAGCCCGGCGAGCGGCCGGACAUCGGACAGCAGUUCACUGAUUUUGGUUUUGAAGGCUCAUCAUAUGACAGAGAUAACUUGAAGAGAUCUUGCACAGUCUUGAAGGUUGUUUGUCUGCAUUUUGAAUUGCAAUAAGUGUUGC
rnacentral:lncRNA from 1 species